CUGAAUGCUAGUGCAUGGAAUAAUGGAAUAGGACCUCGGUUCUAUUUUGUUGGUUUUCAGAACCAGAGGUAAUGAUUAAUGGAGACAGGCGGGGGCAUUCGUAUUGCGACGUUAGAGGUGAAAUUCUUGGAUCGUCGCAAGACGGACCGAAGCGAAAGCAUUUGCCAAGGAUGUUCUCGUUGAUCAAGAACGAAAGUUAGAGGUUCGAAGGCGAUCAGAUACCGCCCUAGUUCUAACCAUAAACGAUGUUGACUAGCCAUCCGAUAAAGG
rnacentral:ncRNA from 1 species